AACGAACGCUGGCGGCAUGCCUAACACAUGCAAGUCGAACGAGACCUUCGGGUCUAGUGGCGCACGGGUGCGUAACGCGUGGGAACCUGCCCUUAGGUUCGGAAUAACUCCCCGAAAGGGGUGCUAAUACCGGAUAAUGUCUUCGGACCAAAGAUUUAUCGCCUUUGGAUGGGCCCGCGUUGGAUUAGCUAGUUGGUAGGGUAAAAGCCUACCAAGGCGACGAUCCAUAGCUGGUCUGAGAGGAUGAUCAGCCACACUGGGACUGAGACACGGCCCAGACUCCUACGGGAGGCAGCAGUGGGGAAUAUUGGACAAUGGGCGAAAGCCUGAUCCAGCAAUGCCGCGGGAGUGAUGAAGGCCUUAGGGUUGUAAAGCUCUUUUACCCGGGAUGAUAAUGACAGUACCGGGAGAAGAAGCUCCGGCUAACUCCGU
rnacentral:rRNA from 1 species